UACGUAGGGGUCGAGCGUUGUCCGGAGUUACUGGGCGUAAAGCGCAUGCAGGCGGCUCAUUACGCAUGGCGUGAAAGCCCCCGGCUUAACCGGGGAGGGUCGUCGUGAACGGGUGAGCUUGAGGAUAUCAGGGGCUGGUGGAAUUCCCGGUGUAGUGGUGAAAUGCGUAGAGAUCGGGAGGAACACCUGUGGCGAAGGCGGCCAGCUGGGAUAUACCUGACGCUGAGAUGCGAAGGCGUGGGGAGCGAAC
rnacentral:rRNA from 2 species